CCUACGGGCGGCAGCAGUGGGGGAUAUUGCACAAUGGGGGGAACCCUGAUGCAGCGACGCCGCGUGGGUGAAGAAGCGCCUCGGCGCGUAAAGCCCUGUCAGCAGGGAAGAAAAUGACGGUACCUGAAGAAGAAGCCCCGGCUAACUACGUGCCAGCAGCCGCGGUAAUACGUAGGGGGCAAGCGUUAUCCGGAUUUACUGGGUGUAACGGGGGCGCAGACGGCGAUGCAAGCCAGGAGUGAAAGCCCGGGGCCCAACCCCGGGACUGCUCUUGGAACUGCGUGGCUGGAGUGCAGGAGGGGCAGGCGGAAUUCCUGGUGUAGCGGUGAAAUGCGUAGAUAUCAGGAGGAACACCGGUGGCGAAGGCGGUCUGCUGGACUGCAACUGACGUUGAGGCCCGAAAGCGUGGGGAGCAAACAGGAUUAGAUACCCCUGUAGUC
rnacentral:rRNA from 1 species